UACGUAGGGGGCAAGCGUUGUCCGGAUUUAUUGGGCGUAAAGAGCGUGUAGGCGGCUAGGUAGGUCCGUUGUGAAAACUCGAGCUCAACCUCGAGACGCCGGUGGAAACCAUCUAGCUAGAGUCCGGAAGAGGAGAGUGGAAUCCUGGUGUAGCGGUGAAAUGCGCAGAUAUCAGGAAGAACACCCGUGGCGAAGGCGGCUCUCUGGGACGUGACUGACGCUGAGACGCGAAAGCGUGGGGAGCGAACAGG
rnacentral:rRNA from 1 species